GACGAACGCUGGCGGCGUGCUUAACACAUGCAAGUCGAACGGAAAGGCCCUGCUUUUGUGGGGUGCUCGAGUGGCGAACGGGUGAGUAACACUUGAGUAACCUGCCCUUGACUUUGGGAUAACUUCAGGAAACUGGGGCUAAUACCGGAUAGGAGCUCCUGCUGCAUGGUGGGGGUUGGAAAGUUUUGGGGGUUGGGGAUGGACUCGGGGGUUUUCAGCUUUUUGGUGGGGUAGUGGUUUACCAAGGUUUUGACGGGUAGCCGGCCUGAGAGGGGGCCCGGCCACAUUGGGAAUGAGAUACGGCCCAGAAUCCUACGGGAGGCAGCAGUGGGGAAUAUUGCACAAUGGGCGGAAGCCUGAUGCAGCAACGCCGCGUGCGGGAUGACGGCCUUCGGGUUGUAAACCGCUUUCGCCUGUGACGAAGCGUGAGUGACGGUAAUGGGUAAAGAAGCACCGGCUAACUACGUG
rnacentral:rRNA from 1 species